CCCCCCAAGUAAAAGCAACCAACGGCACAAGUCCAAAAGUGGAGGGAAUUUUUAGUUGGGCUGUGGCUCUGUGAAUUCUCUCGUCAGACAACACUUUGAAGCCGAUACUGGAAAUGUAAGCACCAAAUUUAAAUGGUUUGUUCACUUGUUACUCCUUAAGUCAUUGUCAUUUAAGUUGAUGUAUAAGAAUGUAGUGUAUAUUGAUUAAAACAAUAUGAAUGUAAGUGUUGUAGCUACUUAGUUUACCAGCAGGUGUAUUCGAUUAAAUGACUUGAAAUCA
rnacentral:lncRNA from 1 species